rnacentral:rRNA from 1 species
UGGGGAAUAUUGGACAAUGGGCGCAAGCCUGAUCCAGCCAUGCCGCGUGAGUGAUGAAGGCCUUAGGGUUGUAAAGCUCUUUCGGCGGGGACGAUAAUGACGGUACCCGCGGAAGAAGCCCCGGCUAACUUCGUGCCAGCAGCCGCGGUAAUACGAAGGGGGCUAGCGUUGCUCGGAAUCACUGGGCGUAAAGGGCGCGUAGGCGGACAUUUAAGUCGGGGGUGAAAGCCCAGGGCUCAACCCUGGAAUUGCCUCCGAUACUGGGUGUCUCGAGACCGGAAGAGGUGAGUGGAACUGCGAGUGUAGAGGUGAAAUUCGUAGAUAUUCGCAAGAACACCAGUGGCGAAGGCGGCUCACUGGUCCGGUUCUGACGCUGAGGCGCGAAAGCGUGGGGAGCAAACAGGAUUAGAUACCCUGGUAGUCCACGCCGUAAACGAUGGAUGCUAGCCGUUGGCAGGCUUGCCUGUCAGUGGCGCAGCUAACGCUUUAAGCAUCCCGCCUGGGGAGUACGGCCGCAAGGUUAAAACUCAAAUGAAUUGACGGGGUCAUAGCUGUUUCCU